GACACCCCCAAAAAUAUCCCAAAAAUCCAGGACCAGGUGCCUCUGCCCGACCUCGGGGACCCCGCAGGAAUUUUGGGGGGGGGGUCCCCAAAAACCCAAA